UGUACUCUGGCUUUUGCAUUCAUGAUUUUUUGUCUCAGUUUUCACCCCAUGUAAGCCUAGAUUUUAAAAUCCAUAAUUUCACUACAUUGCAAGAACAAAAGUACCUACUUACAACACACUUUAAUAAAUUUCCUAGAAUGAUUGGAAAUUUUGAAGUCACAGAGGUUAUUUCCUUCCAAUCCCAUCCCAAAUGGAGGUUGCAGCAGGGUAGAGUUUUUGGACAAUCUUGUUUACUGCUGCAUCCCCAGUGUCAAGAAGGCUGCCUGAACAUAGAAAGUCUUCAAUAUAUAUUUGCUGAAAUAAAAGUAAAAAUUCAGUCUGGUGUCUCCAUAAUCACAGCCAUGGCCUUGUAAACAGGUAGUGAUGCGGACAGAGCCAUCUGUGCUGCGCUGCAGACCCACACAGAGGUCUACUGGAAGGGAGGAGCCCGAGGCGAGUCCACUGAAUGUGGGCACUUCCCAGUGGACAUUCAGCAAGCUCUCGAGGCUCUGCCAGGGUACUCUCCCAGGAAACAUCAACAACACCUAAGAGUGUGGAGUAUGUUACAGAUAGAGCUACAGGACCUCAUGUUCCCUGCUGGUGGAUGAGAAGAGUGACCUGCAACCCUUCUAACCUGUUUCUGUGGUAUGGUUUGGAUUUGUGUCCUAACCCAGUUCUCAUGUCAAAUUGUAAUCCACGUUGUUGGAGAAAGGCUCUGGUAGGAGCCAUGGAAGAUGUACCUGCUUUCCCAUUGCCUUCUGCCAUGACUGUAAGUUUCCUCGGGUCUCCACAGCCAUGCUUUCUGUAAAUCCUGCAGAACUGUGAGCCAAUUAACCUCUAUUCUUUAUAAAUUACCCAGUCUCAGGUAUUUCUUGAUAGCUGUGCAAGAACAGACUAAUACAGCCAGUCAUUAUUUAUUUUUGUUAGUUUAUCUUACAUCAAUAACAGCCUUUUCAGUUAAGAUCUGCACUGAUGAAAAGACAAAAAGUCUAGAGAGGUUAUUGGUAUCAGAAAAGUGUAUUUUACUUCAUUCAACAUGGGUAACAUUUUCAAGCUCUGAAAAGGACUUUUCUAUGUACUUAAAAAGGUCUUAAGGCCUCAUAUUUCUCCUCUAAUCAAGUAGCAGGGAAAUGUAUUUACUUCUAUUCAUGAACAUCUAAAUGCUAUUGUUGGUAAUUCACAAUAAUUAGAUAAGAAUUUGAAAUGAAGGCAAUAUUAAAACUACAAUGUGCACAAUAAUAAAAAGUGUAAUGGUGGUUUUGACAUUACCAUUUCUGGCUGAUAUUAGGAUUGGUGCCAAAAAGAGAUUAUUUUGGCACUUGAAAUAUUAUAAGAAUGAUGAAUUACAUCUACUUGACAUUAUCAUUUAUGAUGAUGCUUAUUUCCCUUAAUUUUAAUUUCGAAGGGUAAGAUAAAAGGUUAGUCUUUUUUGGAUGAUUAAAACACAUUUUUAAUCUAAUUUCCCUAAGCCAAAUAGAACGAAGAUUUGAGAAGUUAUGUGGAAAAGUCAGCAAUAUUUUUAGAUUACUUUAUAAUGUACACACUGCUACCUUAUUUACUUUUCAUGUAGUAUCUGGGCAUAUCAUUAUUUUUGCCAUUUUACAGGGGAAUGAAGUGAGGUUUAGAGAUAUUAAGUACAAUAAUUCAUUCAAUAGCAAACAUUCACUUGGUAGAAAAACCAGGGAUAAGGUGAUUUCUGUCUCCAAAUCUUGUGUACUUUCUAUACCACUCUGCUUCUCAUUAUAAUUAACAAAUAAUCAUGAUAAUUUAUACUUAAACAUACACUCUACUAUCUGUCAAAUUACUCAUCACCUUAGUUUCUAGUACAUAUUUCCAAAAAGAGAGUAUGGCAUGCCUUUCUUCUAAGAUUAAGCUUCCUGUAACUGUUAUUAAAUGUGUUCAUGUUUAUGAUCCAUGUUGAAUGCUAUUCAUCGUGUUUCCAGAUUUGAGCUCUGGGCAAAGAUUAAUAUGCUCAACAUUUAUAGAUAGAGUCCAGGCUCCUGCUGGAGGGUUAUUUCUCAAGUUCUGGCAUCUCUGUUGACUUAAGGACCAGUCAACAUGAGAAAAUGGAGCCCACUAAUUUUGUAACAUAUUGUAAUAUCUCUGGAAAAACACAACUGGUUUACGAAAGAGACCAUGUGAUUUAUUUGAAAAUGAAGCAGAAGCCUUUACAAUGUUUUACUGAAACUGCCAUGGGGACCAGAAGUGAAUGGAUCGGAGGUCCAACAAAAUUCACUAUUGAGGCUUACACAAAUAACCACAGCUGAAGAUGCAAUUGUCCCAGCCUAUUCUGUAUAUUCAUAUUCAUCUUGUAUGUUUAUGAUAUUAUUUAAGCUGUGAUAUUUAGGUUAAUAUUUUCUUUAGUACUAUUAUGUUUAAUAAGUCAACUCUAAACUAUAAUUUCUACUUUCAUGAUUUAGCAAUUUGACAUUAGCAAUAGUAAUGAUAAACUGCGGUAGAAACAACAAAAAUUCAAAAAUAAAAAAUGUAAGUAAGAAGGAC
rnacentral:lncRNA from 1 species